UUUCCCGAUUUCAGGAUCCUUCGUCACAUUCUCUAUCUUUUUGGUGUUUUGGGGUGUGAUUUAUGUAAGAACGCAUAUAAAUUGUGCGUGUGCAUUAUUAGGUCAUUUUUUUCUUCUGGAUCCAGGAUGAAGCAAAACCCUGCCCCAUUCCUGGGAUUUAUCAGAGCCCACGGACAGGGAGUCUCUCAUCCUCGGUCUGUUCGCAGCGGCCCGUCUGUAGCCCAGAUGACACUAAACUCUCGUGUCAGAGCUCUCACGUCACUGGAAUGUCCACCCAGCUCUGGAGACUCCUGGGAAAGAAAUCCCAUCUUGUCAGAGGUUCAGGAAGGACCCAUGGGCAUCAACCGAUGGUCCCUCAGAACCCUGCAGGGCGCCACGGCCGCGGCAAGAAGGAAGACUUCAGAGGCCGGCCAGGAGAGCACCGGACGCAGGAGAGGGCGCUGCGAGCGCUGGCGCUGGGGCCAGGGAGCUCACGGCCCCUUCCCCGCAGAUCUCGGGCCUGUCGCCAUCACAGGGGUGGCACGGAGGUCGGAGGAAUGCUGGCCCUGCGCGGGAAGCCAGGCUCGCUGUUAAGCAACAGCACCAGACCUCUUUGUUUCUCCGCUUCUUCCAAAGUGGCAAAAGAUCAAGGCCCCGGCUUGAAACAACAAAAGGGAAAUAGCUUGCAGGCGCGCAUCUGGAGGCCAGAAGAGGUUUUAAUGGCCCUGCUUGGGAGGGAGCUGGGGAGGGGCCUGAGCACGGAUCCCACACCCUUCUCCACAUGCUCAGGACUCGGCUGGGCAUCCCACCCGCCGCUCAGGCGGCACCCACCUGGCGCAGCGCCUCCUUUGUGACCUGGCGGGUGGCGACUUGCACGUCCGCUGCCCCCGCGCCCGCCAGCUCCUCCCUGCAGGGUCUUGGCCUGGGAGCCUUGCAUUUCUCUGUCUCUGACGCCCACGUCAAACCUCCCCAGGUCCAGCUCGGGGCUGGCUGAGGCCCGGGUUAAUGAGGGUCGGGGUUAAUUAGGGUCGAGAGUGGCGUCGUGGCGGGCCGGCCGGGCUGAGACGGCGGUCGUCAGGCCAGGCUGAAGAAAGGCCGCUCAGAGCCCCGCAGACGUUUCUCGUGGCGGAUGAGAUGGGCCUUCUCCUGGGGGACGUCACCCCACGGCCCGAGUCAGCGGGAAGGGGGUGCAGGGGUGUCUUCCCUCAGAAAAGGAGGCCCUCUCUCCCUCUCUCUCUCUCCUGACCCUAACGACGCUUCCGGAAGCCUCGGCAGGGAUGUUUGCACAGCGCAUGGUUCUCUGGGCUGAAGUUUUCCCCAGAAAAGCCCUGAGAAGGGAGCCCGCGGGUCCUGGAAGCGGGGAGGUGGGGCGGGCCUCCUGCUUCCUGCUCGGUGCACCGACGGUCCCCAGACAGCACCUGCUCACGCGGCGGCCGCGGCGCACACCACGCACACGGGCCACUCACCGAGCUUCCUUCCUCCACGUGUUGGGCACGGCCCACUGGAGCCACAUCUGUGCCCCACCCAGCGGUGUCCAGAGACGCUGAUGUCGGGAGAUGCUUGGCGAGCUGUAGAAGGUCCCGGAGCUCGUCAGAGCCAGAGCUGAAUUUCGAAUCCAAACCUUCCUGACAACCAGCGCUUGGGCUUUCCAGAACUCCCUGUCUCCUGAGAUGGCAAGCAAACGAAUGACCUGACCUGGUCCAAGUUCUGACUCAGGAAGCAUACUUCCCUGCAAUGCAGUUUGGGUCUCAUCACCUCCCACCUCAAACGCUGGCAGUAGCUCCCCUUUCUUGGCGGCCCUUUUGGAUGGCUGCAGUGAUGGAUGACCCAGGCCACCGAGGCUGCUCGGGGGCCCAGCCCUCGGUGGGAAGCCGACGUGGCAGAGGGAGGCAGAUGGAUGGGGCGCCCGUGUCCUCUGGCUCUGGGUGGGCGGGCGAAGCCAGGUUCCCGGGCUGUGCUGACAGGGCCUCAGGCCACUGCCCAGACUUUGAUUGGUUGGGUGCAAAUGAUCAAGGCAUCCUGUCCUGGACACCCCAGCUGGCACUGGGUGCUGCAGCUGGUGGGAGGGGGAGGAGGCGACACCCCAAACCAAACCCCGUCAACACCACGACCCAAGGCUGCCUGGGCAGGGCCGACCCUGGGUUCGGCAGAGCCAAGGGCCCUCCAGGUGGGCCUGAGCUGGAACGGGGGUGACCAGCCUUCCCAGCAGGACUCUCCCAGGAACCCAGUGCAUGGUGGGAUUUCCGGGUCAGUCUCGAGUUAGGAACCAGAAUAGCACCUUCCAGGACGUGACACAUGCAAAAAAGGCAGAGGCGUGGCCUGGGCAGGAGGAACUGGCCUGCUCGCACUGCGAAGACUGGAAGUAUGGGAGUUCCCUGGUGGCCUCGCCGUUAAGGACCUGGCAUUGUCACUGCUGUGGUAUGGGUUCCAGCCUGGGCCUGGGAACUUCUGCAUGCUGCUGGUGCAGCCGAAGGAAAAAAAAAAUCCACGGAAGCAUGGUACUAAAUGGCCCGGCCUGUCAGGGUGGCGUUUAGAUCUGCACUGGGAAUCCCCUCGAGUGGAUUUCGGGCUACUCCACAGGGUGGGUGCAGCUCCCGUUGCCCAGGAGGCGGUGCUGGGUUGGCGAGCCUGUCAAGCCGAGAGCUCAGCUGGCCCAAGGGGUAGAGCUGGGCCCAUGGAGCCUCCUGGUUCUUGGACUGCCGUUCCUGGGUCGGUUUUUUACUGAUUGAAUUUACUGGAAUGUCCUGUGGUUAGCAUGUUCCGGGAGGCCUUAUCUUGGGGUGACUUUGCUGUCCUCCCAGGCCUCUGUCCCCUUGCCUUCCUCUGUCUGGGCUGAUGACUCUCCAUGCCUCUCUGCGGCCAAAAGCUCUUGUCAUAGGCCCCAGGCAGGUGAGCUCCUCACUUAGGGGGCCGUUCUCACUGGCUAGAGCCUGGGCAGGGGACAGGGAGGGUCUCGGCCAAGCUCUCUGGACAUGUUCUAGACCUACGAGGUCUGCGGUGGCCCCCAGGCCCCUCUGCUGCUCAAAGCCACACAUGUCCCCAGGCGUGGACUGUUUGCUGAGGUUCCUUGGGGAAAACCAGGCCGCCGCCUUCUCCGAGGGCCCAGUCCCAAGCCAGAGCCGCAUCCUGGCUUCUCACCUCUGUGUGGCAUCGACGUGCCCUCUGCUUUACGUCCUGCAGCAUUCCGGCGCCGUUCCCCGAUUUCAGUGCUGCGGGAAGUACAUCUUAGUUCCCUGUUUAUUGUGUCAUUUGAAUGGGAUUUGUGGUAGAAGGUGGAGAUACUGCAGCCCAGCACUUUGAACUG
rnacentral:lncRNA from 1 species